GCUCCUUCUUUAAGGUAGGAUAAGUCGUAACAAAGUAGGCGUACCGGAAGGUGUGCCUAGUAAGG
rnacentral:rRNA from 1 species